ACCAGGGAUACAACAAGGUGGAUGGACAUGUCAAUGUGAUAGAGUACCAGGGAUACAACAAGGUGAAUGGACAUGUCAAUGUGAUAGAGUACCAGGGAUACAACAAGGUGAAUGGACAUGUCAAUGUGAUAGAGUACCAGGGAUACAACAAGGCGGAUGGACAUGUAAUUGUGAUAGAGUACCAGGGAUACAACAAGGUGGAUGGACAUGUCAAUGUGAUAGAGUACCAGGGAUACAACAAGGUGGAUGGACAUGUCAACGUGAUAGAGUACCAAGGAUCAUCAUAUCUUUAUUUCCUCCAAAAUAAUGAAGAGUACAAUGUGGAUGAGUGCAAGUGACAUGGUACAAAAAAUGGUGCAGACACAAAUUGAGAUAUAAUUGAUAUUAAUAUCAUUUCAUAAUCACAUCUUGAAAGAAAGUAAAGACACGUUAUAAGUCAAUGAAAGUGGUUAAAGGAAGACUCAUUGCUACAAAAUUAGCUAGAUUUAUUGGAAGGUCAUAUAGAACGCCUUUUCCGCAAAUAUUAAGCAAUCUUUGAUAAAAGUCGUGUGCGAUUUAACAUCGUCCAUUAAGUGCAUCACAAAUAACAUCGCUUGGACGGACCGGUCCGUGUGAUAGAGAGUCAGGGAUACAGCAAGGCGGUUGGAUGGGUCCGUGUGAUAGAGUGUCAGGGAUACAGCAAGGCGGAUGGACGGGUCCGUGUGAUAAAGUGUCAAGGAUACAGCAAGGCGGAUGGAUGGGUCCAUGUGACAGAGUGCCAGAGAUGCAACAAGGGAGACCGAGGAGUCCAUGUGAUCGAUUGUCAGGGAUACAACAAUGGGGAUGGACGGGUCCAUAUGAUAGAGUGCCAGGGAUACAACAAGGCGGACGGACGGAUCCGUGUGAUAGAGUGUCAGUGAUACAACACGGGAGACCGACGAGUCAAUGUGGUAGAGUGCCAGGGAUACAACAAGGCGGAUGGAUGGGUCCUGAUCCAUGUGAUAGAUAGAUGGGUCUGUGUUUUAGGGUACCAGGAAUACAACAAGGCGUAUUGACGGGUCCAUGUGAAAGAUUGUCAGGGUUACAACACGGCGUAUGGACGGGUCCUUAUGGUAAAAGUGCCUGUAACACUUCAGUGACAGCAGUGAUCACAGAAAGCUUCUGUAUAAAAUCAAAUAUACUCUUA